CCAUGGUGAUUGAGGAGGAGCCGGAAGACAACGUCCAGGAAGCCAAACUCUGGCACAUGUCCAUCACCUUCUUCACCCUGUUCCUGAUCAGCAUCUUCUACAGCAGCACGGUGACCCUCUGCAAGGUGAAAUAAGUGCCCCUGUCACUGCACUCUCCCAGAAUGGAGCAUUGGGAUCCCUCCUCCCAGGUAGAGGUGGACCAGAGCUGCCCCAGUUUUCCAGUCCCGGACAACCCGGAAGAGGUGAUACCCCCAGUCCUCGAUCAGUCUUCCAUGUUGGUUCUUUUUCUCCUCAGCCAGCCUCCAGCAGAGAGGGGUCCCCAUCCUCCCCUAACCCGCUGCUGCCGCCACCCCGCUCAGUGGAGAACAUUUUCAGGGGCCCUCUUGGCACCCCGGGCACAGCUAGCUGCGAAGUAUGUGGGGAGGGGGCUGAGGGCCUGAGCCGGAUCUUCCUCCAUGCUCUCCACUCUAACCUCCUCCUCCCAGCUCCCAGACCAGCUCCCAGGUCCAAGACCAACGACUGGUCUUGGGCCUUUGCAGGACAUGGAGAGUCCCAGGCUGUACUCAAUAAAAAUCUCUCCUGCCCAAGCCUA